CUUGCUAAGCAGUUAUGAGGGCCAUCAUACAGAGUGCUCUGAAUUGCCACCUGACCAGAUGGCAUGUAUUUUAGCACAGCCCAGCCUAGGUUAAAAAAAAUAAAAGAAAAAGGGUGGCAGAAACCCAGUAGUCAACCUUGAUAAAAGUAGCAAGCUCAGCAGGAAUGCCCAAUGUGGUCUAGAGACUAAGCUGCUGCAAAUCCCACAGUCAAGGGCACUGCCAGCACCAUGGAUUCCACAGCAGUGCAGGUGAGUUGGAGCUGAUAGUAAGCAUGGCGUGAGGGCAACAGGCAGGUGACCUUGUCAGCAGGAGCAAGCAGGAUGCAGGGAGCUGGAGUUGAUGCUGGGAGCUACUGGACAAGACAAUCAGACAUGAGAGGCAGGCAAAGGCAACAGGAAGGGUAGCUAUACUCUUCUGGGUGUACAUGUGCACUUUUGUUCAUUAUUCUCUUACAGGGAGAUGAGAGGAGUACAGGAAACUAACUUCCAGUUUGUUCCUCUUCAUUCAAAGGUGGAAGAAACACAUCAUCCAGGUGCUCACUAGAAAACAGCUCAGGACACUGCAUUUCAAAUCAAACAGAAAAUGCCUCUUUCCAUGGGGAAAAGAGAAGGCUAGCAAUAAACAAAACAGAACAACAGCAAAACCCACAAAAACACCAGAAACACUAUUAUCCGCAGAUGGAAAGACUGAGUUAAUCAUUUAUUGGAUUUUCUUCUGAGUGUCUGUUAUUUUCUGGAAACAGCUGCAAAAACAUUUUUUUUUUCUUGUUUUACUCAGAAAAACAGUGUCACCAUCACAACCCUUUCACUCUUACGUAAGAGUGGAAAAGUUGCACUAGCAGCACAAGGAGAACAGCAGAUACAGAGAUGUCAGUCCUAUGCAUACUGGUGACCCUGGGAACCCUGCUGAAGCUCUGCAGGGUACAGAAUCCAGGGAUCAGUACUAGCCAGACUGAGGUUUUCAGUGUUCUUCCCAGACACCUCUGGAAGAGAUCCACUUCUUGUUGGAUAUCUCUGGACUCCAAGAUUAAUCAGACUGGAUUUGAACUGUACUUCAAAUGCCAAGCUGCUGAGAGCUGAGGGAAAGAGUGUGGCAUGUGCUCAAUGGCUUUUAUUUUUUUUUGGUAGGGCUCCUCUGAAGUCCACAGCACACAUUUACAAGUUAAUCUUUCUGCGUCACCUGGUGAAAAGCCAAGCUCAAGCAUUCUUACUUCUCAUAUGAAACAACUGAGAUAUGGAAGUUAAAUGACGUGAUUGGAUCGCUGAUCUGUAAUGAAGACUUGAAGAUCUCUGGGAUCCAAGAGAUAUUUUAAAGAACUGGGAGGGACUGGUGUCAGCUUCAAGAGUUCCCUUUGGCCAAUGUGUGUUUACAGAGGUCUGGUAGAGAAAAUUGGUGAAAGUGAUCAGACUGAUGUCUUCUUCUUAACUCACUACAAAGGUAAGUUUUCCUAUAGGUCAGACCUUGUAGAAAGCUUGGGCAAUGGUAAUAUGCAAAAUGCAGUGCCUAUUGCCUAUAACUGAUGCUU